GCGCGUAUUCGACGCGCUAAUGCGGGUCUUUGUCCUUGUGGCGGUUCGCAGCGGUGACGGCAGCGUAGCCACGUACCCACCCUCUGUGUGGCACCUUCAGCAGUGCGUUCGCGCGCGUAGUUCUUCUUGUUAUCACGCCACCUCUGGCGGAUAUCUGUGGACACGAGACGCGCUGUUUUGUGCGCUUCGUCGAACAGAUGUAGACAUAGCCCCCGCAAACGUCCUGGAGAAUGCAGGUGCAUCACAAGGAGCGACAGCCGCCGCGCCGCCGCGCUUCUACUUCUUCUCGGCGCUCCUUGACGUGGGAAACAACGAGGAGGACGUCGACCUCGUGGCGAUGCUGCUCAUGGAACUGUGCAUUGCGUGGCCAAAUGCCAUCGCGGCUCACAUGGAGGUAUGCCGUGUUUGCCGUGGGGAGCUGUCUCCUGUGCGCGCGUCGUCACCGCUUGCGGCGACCCCAGGCGAAGGUGAAACUGACGAGCCAUCGUGGCAACUCAAACACUUCACGCGAGAGGAGACACUGUUGGUGCUACUAGCGGACGAGAUCGAGGCGACAGCCGCGACACAAGACGGCUUUCUCACGCGGUGGGGCGUCCGCAAUGCGUGGGACCACGACAGAGCGCUGCAGGGCCGCAGCUGGUGGGUGAGCGGGGGUAUUGUGACCGUGCUCCCUUCCGAGGCUGCCACCAGGCUUGUGGAACCCUUUCUGAUGCUGGAGCUGUCGCGGAUGGAGAAUGGGUGCCCCCAGCUGCCCCGCCAUCCCGAGAGUUGCCGUGACUCGAGCCAAACACUUGAAGAGGCGUUGACGCACGCUAUCUUGGAAAGGGAACUCUCACAUAGCGUGAGGGCGUACCUCCGCAAGGAGGUUGAAGGGCGAAUAGAGUCCCGCCCAUUGCAUCGGAUGAUUGUGGUGGUGCCACCAGCGAUGGCGCUGUUUCUCAGGGGUGCGCCGUCCUCUAUGUUGCACGAUUGUUUUCUCUACCACACCGUCGACUGUCCACUCUUCGCGGUGGAGGGCGGCAGCUGCGACGCGGCGCAGAGCUCCACAGAUCGCGCCACCGGUCUCGUGGCCCCAGCGACUAGUCCCACCGCGUUCCUGCGGCCAGUGAAGUCAGGUCUAUCGUCGGCAGACCUGCUAGAGCGGCAGUGUCGUGUCGCUCAUGACGAGACGUCGCGUCUGAUGGAGCUGUUCCGCGAGUACGACCUGCUGCUUUCCGGAGACGGGUAUGUGCGAGUCCCGCUUGCGCCCGUUUCCCGCUACGUUUUUACGCAGUUGCUGUGUCAGUCGGAGCUUCCGUCCGCGCUGAUCCUCGCGCUUAUGCGGCGGCAUUCGGACGUCACACACCGUGCAUGUGACGUGGGCCAUCGCAUCGACCUAGCCGCUGUGUCGAGCAGACCUCCCUUACCCACCGAGGAGGAGGUGAUGCUGGGGAUAAAGGUGACCUGGGCAGUGGAGCGCUGGACGGCCGCGCUACGAAGAGGCUCUGCGGCGGCGCCCCCUGUAGGCCUACAUAUGUGGAAUGAAGAGCAAAGUCUGCGCAAAGAUAAACUGUGCCGAUGGAUUCACGAGCGCAUGCGAAAAGCCAAGCGCGAGGCCGCCGAGUUGUACUCUCUUGAAGACGCUGCCGAUACACAUGCCACAGAUAGAGAAGAGGAUGGCGUCGCUUCGAGGGUGUCUGCGCUCCCGGUCGCGAGCGGUGACACGGCCGACCCGCUGCGGCGCUGCCGAGGUGCCGCAUUGAAGCAGCUGGAGCGGAGACUGUUCGCGCCGUUUCCAUCCUCCUACCGUGGCUCGUCGACCGAGUGGCUUGGGCAAGCUCUCCGUGAUGUCGCGAGAGAGCAAACGCACGCAGCAUCGAACAUGGCACAGCGCGACGAUGUGUGCUCAUCCUUUGCGGGGCCCGCCCCAGCGGCACCCAGAGCUGCUUCAACCAACGCGCUCGACAACUCGUCUAGUUCAAGCCACUCAGACGCGACGUCGGAGGACGGCUCAGAUGGCGCAGGAGGCGUUGGCAUCCCCACACCGCAGGAGACGGAGAGCCUACUUGCACAGCUAACAGAGUUGGAGGUGGUGCUUCAAAACGAACUGGCAAGCCGGGCAACGGUCCCUCUCGCAAGCGGAGGCGACAGUCGGGCAACUGACUUGCGCGGCGGCGUCGGUGAUGCUGUCACCGAGGACCAAGAGAUGGAUGUGACGUCAUGGCUUACUGCCGCAGACAUGCAGCAGAUAACCCGGAACGAGCUUUUCCUGCAUCACGUGCAGCUCCUCGAAUCUGAGAUGGAGCAGGACCAGUAGAGGAGUUGACCGUCCGCCUUACCGUGAAAGGCCGACUGCACACGGCGUGUGGUGUCGCCGCCCCCCCCCCUUUGCACUCGUUGAUGCAGUUGAAUGUGCCUUUCCUUUUGUUUUUUGUUCUCGGUCUGCUAAGCUGAGCACGCAC
rnacentral:misc_RNA from 1 species